rnacentral:lncRNA from 1 species
CAAUUUCUCCCGCUCACCAGAUCAUUAACUAAAUCAGGUUCACAGAAGAAUCGCCUGUUGAUGAAAAAUGAGAGGGAAAGUUUUACCCAGCUUACAAAGCUUAUUAACAAGAGCAGCUCCACAAAGAACAGCCUGAAGCUAAUUAAGUGGCUUCAGAAAAGGAGACUGCUUAAAAGAAAAAUGAAAUGCAGAUUAUGCCGGCAGGACAUGAAACUGAAGAAAAGGACCAACUGUGGAGAUCAAUAUGCUUGGAUUUGUCGACAAGCACAUAAAGCAAAACAAGUUUCUGUCAGGCACAAGUCAAUCUUUCAUGGAUCAAAGCUUUCCUUCAGUAAAUGGAUGCAGUUCAUGUACAGGUUUUCUCAGGGUCUGCGGUUGCGGCAGAUAGACAUGAUGGAUGACAGCAUUGCAGGCAGUUUAACGACUCUUAGUAAAAUGGCAAACAAAAUAAGGAAGGUCUGUGUCACAGCAGUUGAAAGAAUGAGAAGGUAUACAGGCCAGCAGAUUGGAGGAAGAAGAGAGUUUGUUGUGAUCGAUAAAGCCAUUUUCGGCACAAACGAAAGUACGGUAGAGGAAGAAUGGCUGGUGGGUGGAAAAGAAAGAAGUGGGUCUUUGGAAUGUUAGGUGUGAGGCAUCAUCAUCAGAGAGCAGGAAGACCA